rnacentral:lncRNA from 1 species
ACACAAAAAAGACUUGGUCACGACAGCUGCAACUAAAUUGGAAACCAUGCAGACUAAUUAAUAUAUAACCAUAAAAAAUAUUGGCUUAUAAAAGGCUCCGGAAAUUAAUAUGUACCUCAUAAUUAAAUAAUGGUUGGCAAAACACGAAAAUAAAUUAUUAAGCAAACUAUGAUGUAUAUUUUGUAAUUAUUGACGUAGACCAAUGUCUUAUUCUUUCUUUCCAUCCUCCCCGAGUUCCGUUGAUGCAGAUCGCUUCGUGAAGCUCAGGGCGGACGAGAAUAUUCAGAAUCUAGACUUGCCAGCCGAAGGGCCGUCGUUUAGAAACUCAUGUCCAAGACCAUUUUGACACUUCCCGCAUCUUACUUUGUACGCACUGGAUCCUUCUCGGUGCUUGACAACACUGUCGCUAUGUAUGGUGUCCGAGAACGCCGGCCAAGGACUGGAGUGUGCGUAUUUCUUUGCACUGCUGAAUAAUUCAUGGCCACAUUUUGAACACACAUAGAUACCUACAGGCAGACAAUGUAUGUGUAAUUAACGUUAUUUUAUACACCCUUUUCAUAAAUGGCUGCCGAUUAAAAAUUCUUUUAUGUGCAUAUAAAUUGGCCCAACUAGCCUCGUUUCUGG